rnacentral:rRNA from 1 species
AUUGAACGCUGGCGGCAGGCUUAACACAUGCAAGUCGAGCGAGCGGCGGACGGGCGAGUAAUGUCUGGGAAACUGCCCGUUGGAGGGGGAUAACUACUGGAAUCGGUCGCUAAUACCGCAUACCAUCAGAUGUGCCCAGAUGGGAUUAGCUAGUUGGUGGGGUAAUGGCUCACCUAGGCGACGAUCCCUAGCUGGUCUGAGAGGAGGACCAGCCAGACUGGAACUGGGACACGGUCCAGACUCCUACGGGAGGCAGCAGAGGGGAAGAUUGCACAAUGGGGGCAAGCCUGAUGCAGCCAUGCCGCGUGUGUGAAGAAGGCCUUCGGGUUGUAAAGCACUUUCAGCGAGGAGGCGUUACUCGCAGAAGAAGCACCGGCUAACUCCGUGCCAGCAGCCGCGGUAAUUC